UACGAGGGGGGCGAGCGUUGUUCGGAAUUAUUGGGCGUAAAGGGUGCGUAGGCGGUUUGGUAAGUCUUAUGUGAAAUCUAUGGGCUCAACUCAUAGACUGCAUGAGAAACUGCCGGGCUUGAGUAUGGGAGAGGUGAGUGGAAUUCCUGGUGUAGCGGUGAAAUGCGUAGAUAUCGGAAGGAACACCAGUGGCGAAAGCGGCUUCCUGGUCCAGCACCGACGUUCAGGCACGAAAGCGUGGGGAGCAAACAGG
rnacentral:rRNA from 1 species